CUACAUACCAAGGCACUGCUUCACAAUACAAUCAAAAGUAAACUCUACAAUGAGAUCCCCACUGUUAGCGACAGCCCUACUCGAAGCUAUUUCCUCCUCCAAUUCAACAGGCUCUUCCCAAUAAGGUCCACUGAAGGCUUGUCUAAGAACAUUUGAGCAAUGUGUCAGAAGCCGAUGCCUCAUUUUUCUCUCUUCCUUCAGGAUGGCAACUUUAAUGAGGACAAACCCCAGGAAAAUCUCUGAUAACUCCCAACAACCUGUUCAUGUUCGGGUUUACCACUAUGAAGAAUCCUAUGGCUAAGCAAGUAUUCAGGCAUCAAGUACAAAGGACAAGCACAUACGAAUGCUACAUUGCCAAGAAAUUGUUCUAUCCUCCUGAAGGUAACAGAGCUCUCAUCUCAGACCUUUCGGAGGCAAACUGCUACCAGAGGAAGAACUUCCUGCAAAUGGGAAAAGAUGAGUCACAUCAGUGACCCUCUUGGAUCCGGCUUCAGACGAUUCAGCAUGGACCCUGGUCAUUCUAUGGCAUUUUCCUUAGGAUAGGAGACUGUUGCAAAUUUAAGAGCACAUGAAGCUAGCUGGCUUCAUAAGAAAGAAAGAAAGAAAGAAAGAAAGAAAGAAAGAAAGAAAGGUGUUACAAUUUUAAGGACUUAAACGUAGAGUAGAGCUUCCAGUUUUACUGCUUAUCUCAAAUUUUCUGUAAACUUCAAGACACUUAAAUGCAUUUGCAUAUUUCUUGGGAAUUAGCAUUUGAGGGUUCUUUGCCUACUCAUAAACAAGUUUAUAAUAAAACAGUAUACUUUCCACAUUUUGUCUACAAACCAAAAUAAAAUUUGAUCAUAUCUAAGCAUG
rnacentral:lncRNA from 1 species